UACGUAGGUGGCGAGCGUUAUCCGGAUUUACUGGGUGUAAAGGGCGUGUAGGCGGGUUUGCAAGUCGGGUGUGAAAGAUUCGGGCUUAACCCGGAGAGGUCAUCCGAAACUGCAGAUCUUGAGUGCUGGAGAGGAUAGUGGAAUUCCUGGUGUAGCGGUAAAAUGCGUAGAGAUCAGGAGGAACACCAGUGGCGAAGGCGGCUAUCUGGACAGUAACUGACGCUGAGGCGCGAAAGCGUGGGGAGCAAACAGG
rnacentral:rRNA from 3 species